rnacentral:rRNA from 1 species
UAGGGAAUCUUCCGCAAUGGACGCAAGUCUGACGGAGCAACGCCGCGUGAGUGAAGAAGGAUUUCGGUUCGUAAAACUCUGUUGUUAGAGAAGAACAGCGCAUAGAGUAACUGUUAUGCGUGUGACGGUAUCUAACCAGAAAGCCACGGCUAACUACGUGCCAGCAGCCGCGGUAAUACGUAGGUGGCAAGCGUUGUCCGGAUUUAUUGGGCGUAAAGCGAGCGCAGGCGGUCAAUUACGUCUGAUGUGAAAGCCCCCGGCUCAACCGGGGAGGGUCAUUGGAAACUGGUUGACUUGAGUGCAGAAGAGGAGAGUGGAAUUCCAUGUGUAGCGGUGAAAUGCGUAGAUAUAUGGAGGAACACCAGUGGCGAAGGCGACUCUCUGGUCUGUAACUGACGCUGAGGUUCGAAAGCGUGGGUAGCAAACAGG